AAUGUAAAUGUGUAGAAUGAAUAGACUUCAAGUAAUUUACCAUUUAUGCAGUUUUUGUUUUUUUUGUGUGUGUUAGGAUGGAAGAGUUGUACUCUUUGUGCUUCAUUUAUUCCUAUAUGGUAAUUUCUAGAAACUUGGACUUUUGAUCCACCAAAAGCAGUAAUACUUUAGCAUUUACCUGUUACUGAGAAAUUAAACCGAGAUGUAAAAACAGAAAAAGAUUAUGCCAUUCAUACCUUUGAUUGAAACAGUAAUAACCAUAGAUGGAUAAGAAAAAUACCUGUUCACUUACUUUUAUAAUUUGUUGUUUUGGGAAAGAGUCUGUCUCCUAAAAUUGCCAUGGAGGUAUAACUUCAAACUUCCUAAAUAUGUACAUUAUGCUUCAUGUAUAAUAUAACCACUUUGAAAAGUUGAAUAACCAAAUACUUUCUUAAUUGGGGUAUGGUUUUCUUGACUUUCAGAGACAAGUAGAAAAAUUCUAAAUACUAGGAUGUCCUACAAAGUAAAGGUAUGGGCAGGUCUGUUUUUGGUUCAUUGUAUCUAGAGGUAGGGCUUCCCAGGUGGUGCUACUGGUCAAGAACCCACCUGCCAAUGCAGGAGACAGAAGAGAUGUUGGUUUGAUCCCUGAGUCAGGAAAAUCCCCUGGAGGAGGGCAUAGAAACCCACUCCAGUAUUCUUGUCUGGAAAAUUCCAUGGACAGAGGAGCUUGGUGGACUACAGUCUGUAGGGUCACAAAAGGUUGGUCACAACUAAAAUGACUAAGCACGCGUCUAGAGGUUAGCGAACCUGUGCACUCUACAAACAACUCUCUUUCAAAUUAAUAAAAUUCAUUUUAGAAAUGUUUUAGAUGUACACACUCUAUAAUGGGGCAAAUGGGUCUAACUCUCCAAAUACAGUGUAUGACUUGGGAUUAUCAGGAAGUAUAUUCAUUAUCAAGAAGUAAACUCCAGGAGAUGGUGAGGGACAGGGAGGCUGGGCGUGCUGCAGUCCACAGGGUCAGAGUCAGACACGACUGAACAACAAAAUUCGUUAAACUUAAUCUCGUCUAUACAGGUAUUGACUAGUUUGGUCAUUUAAAGUAAUCCUUUGCUUCUUGCAGUUAUUGGUGUGCAUCUUGAAUAAUGAAGUUUGAAUUUCACAAAUGUGCAAUAAUCCCAUACCUUUCCUGCAGUACAUCCUGAGCCUAUAUGCUGUAAUAAGGUACUACCCAAGUACAAGCAGUUCUCAUCACUGGAGCAUGCCAGGAUGAUGUUAGAAGUUGCUCUGAUGAAUUCUUCAUGCCAGACUGAAUCAUCACAUUUUGUGACUGAAGUCUGUUUACACCAGUGUUCCUAGUUCUCGGAGCUCACUCUGGACCAGGCUUCAGCCUAAGCACGUCUCUGUGGAGGUCACAGCCGCUUCUCCGCCACGCCAGUGGCGCCUGCGGCUCUGCUUGCACUUGGUACCUUCCAGGGCCCUGGAGUUAUUGGUGUUUUCUUAGCGGGAGAACCACUUUCAGAGGACUGGCAAUCUUUCCUGCAUGUUCUUCCAGAUAUUGACUGGCUGACUUCUUGGGACUAGCAGACCUGCCUCUUGGUGUGAUCCCGUUUUCUGCUUUCAAGAGAUUUUUCUUCUCACCGUGCCCAUGACUGUUGGGCACAGUGUCCUUUAAUUCUUCUGCCUUUUCACAUAUCUGAACUCUCAUCAAUGAUUCUUCAGUUACUGGCACAUGAGACUCUUCAAAUAUGGAAGCAGAGUGCGAAGAUGGAUGACAUGGUGACUGUUCAUCAUAAAUCACAUUGGAAGAUGUAGGGUUAUUAAUAUCCCAAUCACCUAAAAAAGUGAUUUUUGAGAAGAACAUUAUUAAAUUUUAGAACUAUAAAUAGGAACAAUUAAGUUUUGAACUUUGAUAUCCAUUUGAAUUUUACUGACUGCUUAAACCGACUAUUUUAUAAAGUUCAUGUAUAUCUCUCUCUAUAAAUGGCAGAUGUAUACAGACAACUGUAGUUGUACAUGAAAGGUAGGUUGUUUCUUUUAUAUAUAUAUAUAUAUAAAGUAAGAGCAUUCGUUUUUCUAAUUACUUUUCAUAAGUACAAUAAUAUAUGAUGUGUAAAUUCUUUAUAAGUAGUAAAAGCCCAAUAAAAAGCUUAAAAGAAAUAACUAAUAAAAUUGGACCAAAUUAUCUGGUCCAAGCAGCUUACUAAUUUAGCUAUUAUUGAUGGAUAUAGCUUAAAGAUUUGCCAAAAUCCACUAAUAAAGGAAACCAAACCAUGGUAACCAGAAUGGAGUUCAUGGGCAUUUGUAAAUAAUUCUCUUGCAUUAAGCUGUUAAAUUUAAUGUCAAAAGGAAACUGAAAAGUGCAGAAGAUAGAAGUAGAUGUAUUUAAUAGCAUCAUUUUUAAUUAAAAAAAAAAAAAAAAAGAAGGAAGUGAUUUACAAGACAUGCAAAUUUACCAAAUCUUUUUAAGGAAAGACCAAGAAAAGCCCUGAAAGCCUUAAUGUUGCUCAGGUUUCACGUAGGAGCACAGACCGGAAGGAGCCAAACCUGAAGAAGGAAGAGAAAAAGCCUAGGACUGUGUAAAAAAAUACAUCACAGCGCAGUUAGCAAAGAUGUCACUGGGGAUGUAUGAUUUACAAGCAGAUGAUGGAAGGUAAUACAGUCAGAGAAUUACAGACUGGAAGGGGACUACAGGAGAUGAUGUCUACACUUAACCCACAAAAGUUCUAUGGGGGGAAGGAAGGAAGCUAGACGGGACAAGGACCAGUGGUGUGGUACUAUAAACUAGUGCACUCAGCUGGAAAAGGGUGAUUUUCUAAUACUGUGAUAUUUCAGAAACACACAGUGAAUCCAGGGAAGUUUAAUAUCAGUACAGGACUACAGAAAUGGUCCCAGGUCCAAAUCUUGGUCUCCAGGUACCGCUAUAGGUAACUUAUUUUUGACAAAUGACCAGAAAAGCCCAAGGUUCUUACUCUGUUCCUUAAGAAAGAAACUCAUCUUACUAUAAGGAAAAAAGUAACAUUUGAAGAGAUUUUAAAUGUUUUUCAUGACAUUAAAAUCCUUUGCCUCUCAUGUUCUUAUUUUCUCCAGGCACAUUUCUCUGCAAAAGCAACUAUGUUUUCUGUUGAAAGUAGCUUAACAUAUAUUCUGUUGUAAUAAAAGUCCUGUAUGAAGUCA